UAAGGAAUAUUGCUCAAUGGGAGAAAUCCUGAAGCAGCAACGCCGCGUGGAGGAUGAAGGGUCUAUGACUUGUAAACUCCUGUAAAGAAGGAAAAAAUUCCCAUUAGAUGGGAGAUGAUGGUACUUCUGGAGUAAGCCCCGGCUAACUACGUGCCAGCAGCCGCGGUAAUACGUAGGGGGCAAGCGUUGUCCGGAUUUACUGGGUGUAAAGGGUGCUCAGGCGGAGUUGUAAGUCAGAGGUGAAAUCUUACAGCUUAACUGUGAAACUGCCUUUGAUACUGCAAGCCUAGAGUAUGGAAGAGAGUGAUGGAAUAUCUGGUGUAGCAGUGAAAUGCGUAGAUAUCAGAUAGAACACCAAUGGCGAAGGCAGUCACUUGGUCCAUUACUGACGCUAAAGCACGAAAGCGUGGGUAGCAAACA
rnacentral:rRNA from 1 species